rnacentral:lncRNA from 1 species
UGAGAUCAAGAAGCCUCAAAUCAAGAAUCCCCAAAUCUAACCCUAAAAUCCAAAAUCUAGGGUUUAAACAAGCAAAAAGCCCCAAAACUAAGAUCUAGAGGAAGGAACCUUGCCACUUACCUCUAGGAUGCUCCAAUCCAAGCUCAAAAUCUUCUAGGGUUGAAGAUUGAUCCACCACAAAGCUCCAAAAGCAAGCUCCAAGCCUCCAAAGGUGAGAAAUGAGGAAGAAGAUGGUGCUCCAAGGCCUCCAAGCAAGCUCCUCUCCUCUCCUUCUCCUUCUUCUCCUUCCCUUUCUCUCUCUAGAAGUGUAGGGAGAGUGUGAGGGAGAGAAAAUGAGAGUGAGAGGGGGAAGAGAGGCUGCCUAAAGCCUCUAAGGUAACAAAAUCCACUUAGGCCCCUCAAAAAUCCACUCUGUGCACUGCCCGGUCUGGGCCGCUCACGCGCUGAGGGACCGGUCUCUCCCUGCCAGGGACCGGUCUCUCGGCUCGUCCCGCAAAACCAGCGUUCGGGAACCGGUCUCUCACAGCCAGGGACCGGUUGCCUCAAGCCCUGUCGCAGCACUGUGCUGAGGGGACCGGUCUCUCAUAUCAGGGGUCGGUCCUCGAGAGUGAAAACUCUCAGGACUUGCCAAAACUCUAGAGAUCGAACUUUUAGGCCGGUAUACAUCGACGGCCCUCCACCAAGUGUGGAAAAGUUCGGAAUACAUAUCGAACACUCGAACCUCGCAAUUUGCAAAGGUCCAGUGUGCUACAUUCACCCCUCCUAAAAAGGAGUUUCGUCUGCGAAACUCGAAUGCUAACAUACCUCAAAACUCCGUCUGAAAUAGAUGGGGAUAGCGCUCCUGCAGUGCACUCUUUAGCUCCCACGUGGCCUCCCGCUUCCCGUGGUUGCUCCAAAGAACCUUCACGUACGGAAUAUCCCGGUUCCGCAGUUUCCGCACCUCGCGGGCCAAAAUCUUCGCUGGUUGCUUCUCGAAGCUCAAGUCGUCCCAUAACUCCAUAGGUGUAGCAUCCAACACAUGAGUCCGGUCGAAGACAUACUUCCGAAGGACCGAUACAUGAAAGACGUUGUGCACGCCGGAUAGGUUCGGUGGUAGAGCAAGUCAAUAUGCUACCGGACCUACACGUUCCAAGAUCUCGUACGGUCCAAUGAAACGGGGGCUCAACUUACCUCGAAUCCCAAAUCUCUUAAUCCCUCUAGUCGGCGAGACCUUCAAGAAAAUAUGGUCUCCAACUUGGAACUCCAAGUCUCGCCGUCGUCGAUCGGCGUAGCUCCUCUGUCUACUCUGCAUCGUCAAAAGUCGCUCCCGAGCAAUUCGAACCUUGUCCUCAGCUUCCUGGAGCACGUCGAGGCCUAAUGCCAAUCUCUCGCCGACUUCACUCCAAUAAAGUGGCGAUCUACACUUCCGUCCGUAAAGUGCUUUGAAGGGCGCCAUCUUGAUGCUUGCUUGAUAACUGUUGUUAUAAGCAAAUUCCGCCAUCGGUAGAUGCUGCGACCAUCCUCCUUGGAAGUUUAUUACACAUGCUCGGAGCAUAUCCCCUAAAGUCUGAAUGGUGCGCUCCGACUGCCCAUUACUAUGAGGGUGGAAAGCAGUGCUGAAGUCCAAUCGAGUGCCUAGGGCGUCCUAUAGACUCCUCCAAAAAUGAGACACAAACCUAGUGUCUCGAUUCGAUACUAUCGAUGUAGGCACUCCAUGAAGCCGCACAAUCUCAUCAAGGUACACUUGCGCAAGCUUCUCCCCGGUCCAAGUAGUAUGAAUAGGUAUGAAGUGCGCCGACUUCGUCAACCUAUCCACGAUCACCCAUAUAGCAUCAUGCCCGGCCUGAGAGCGAGGCAAUCCAGUCACAAAAUCCAUGGUGAUCUUCUCCCACUUCCACACGGGUAUAGGCAGACUCUGAAGUUUUCCCGCAGGCAAUCGAUGCUCUGCCUUUACUUGUUGGCAAGUUAGAGAACGAGCUACAAACUCGCCAACUUCCUUUUUCAUUCCGGGCCACCAAUAAAACAACUUCAAGUCCUUGUACAUCUUGGUGCCUUCCGGAUGUAUAGCGUAGGGCGCUCGGUGCGCUUCUUGAAGAAUAUCCUCUUUAAUUCCCGAAUCCGUCGGUACACAAAUCUGUCCACGAAAACGCAUCAAUCCUUGAUCAUCCACAAGGAAGUCGCCGGUGCAACCAUUAACCAUUUUACCUUUAAUCCUUUGCAACUCUACAUCGGAAGCUUUCUUUUCUUUAAUUCGAUCCAAAAGUGUAGGUUGCACCACCAACGUCAUCAACCUCAAAGGCGUGUCAGGAGUCACUACCUCCAACUCCAACCGCUUCAUUUGCUCGAUCAACUGCGGUUGAGUAACAAUAUGCAUCGCUAAGUUUUCAGUUGACUUCCUACUUAGCGCAUCCGCCACCACGUUAGCCUUGUCCGGGUGGUAAAGAAUCGUUAGAUCAUAAUCCUUGAGCAGCUCCAACCAUCUGCGCUGUCUCAAGUUCAACUCCUUCUGAGUAAACAGGUACUUUAAGCUCUUGUGAUCCGUGUACACUUCACACCGCUAGCCAUAAAGAUAGUGGCGCCAUAGCUUCAAUGCGAACACUACGGCCGCUAACUCCAAAUCAUCCGUCGGGUAGUUCCUUUCAUAUUUCUUUAGUUCGAGAAGCAUACGCAAUCACCUUGCCAUCCUGCAUCAACACACAGCCCAAUCCGUUAAGAGAUGCAUCACUGUAAAUCACAUACCCUGCUCCAGUCACCGGCAGGGUUAGGAUCGGGGCGAUCGUCAAUCGUUGCUUCAGCUCUUGGAAGCUUCUCUCACACGCAUCAUUCCAGAUGAACUUAACGCCUUUAUGCGUGAGCCUCGUAAGGGGAGUAGACAACUUAGCAAACCCCUCAACAAAUCUCCGGUAAUAACCGGCCAAUCCAAGGAAGCUCCGUAUCUCCGUGACGCUCGUCGGUCUCGGCCAAUCCUUGAUUGCUUCAAUCUUCUUAGGAUCCACAGCUAUACCCGAUCCUGAUAUCAAAUGUCCAAGGAAGGCUACCUCUCGAAGCCAAAAUUCGCACUUUUUCAGCUUGGCAUAAAGCUCCUUUUUCCGAAGUAUUUGAAGUACAAACCUCAAAUGCUCCUCGUGAUCCGCAUCGCUUCGGGAGUAAACCAAAAUAUCGUCGAUGAACACCACGACAAACCUGUCCAGAUAUGGCUUGAAAACACGGUUCAUCAAAUUCAUAAAAGCUGCCGGGGCAUUAGUAAGCCCAAACGGCAUCACUGUGAACUCAUAGUGUCCAUACCGUGUUCUAAAAGCUGUUUUCGAUACAUCCUCGGGUUUGAUCUUUAACUGGUGGUAUCCCGACUUCAAGUCUAUCUUGGAAUACACACUCGAUCCUUGAAGCUGAUCAAACAAGUCGUCAAUCCUCGGCAACGGAUACUUGUUCUUGAUCGUGACUUUAUUGAGCUCACGAUAGUUCACACAUAGGCGAAGUGAUCCGUCCUUUUUCUUGACGAAUAGAACUGGCGCUUCCCACGGCGAGACGCUUGGUCGAAUGAAGCCCUUGUCCAACAGAUCCUGUAGCUGUGCCCUCAGCUCCUUCAGUUCCGCCGGUGCCAUCCUGUAGGGUGCCUUCGAGAUUGGGGUAGUCCCAGGGACGAGAUCUACCACAAACUCAAUCUCCAUAUCAGGAGGCAUGCCCGGAAGCUCAGCUGGAAACACAUUCUGGAACUCCCGCACCACCGGAAUAUCCUCGAUCCUAGGGGUGUCAUCCUCGCCCCUCAUCACAACACUAGCCAAGUAGGCUACACAUCCUCGGCUGAUCAGCUGCCUAGCUCGAGACGAGCUGAUCGACAUCGCGAAAAGCGAACUCCGGCAUCCUCUAAACACAACCUCAGUCUGCCCCGGUUCUCUAAAGGUAACCGUGCGAUUCUUGCAAUCUAUUGUGGCAUAAUACUUAGUUAGCCAAUCCAUACCCAAGACCACCUCAAAGUCCCCUAGCUUGCGCAGGGCUAGCAAAUCUACGGGCAUGAUCCAAUCUCCUACCCGAACAGGGCAACUAGGGCAAUACUCUCUAAUAUCCAGAGUGUGGUCGGGGACUACGACAUGUCUCGGAUGCAACAAGAAAACCAAAGGGAUGCCAUGCAACUGGGCAAACAGCCGAUCAAUAAAUGAAUGCGAUGCACCGGUAUCAAAUAAAGUACGAACUCUAAUGCCAUCACGUAAAAUGAUACCUGCAACCACAUCCUUGGCUGCUGCUGCCUCCUCGGUCUGAGCAGCAUACAUGCGUCCACUCGGGACCUGCCGAAACCCCUCACUCUGCCGCUGGACGGUUGGCCGCCCAGGCUGGUACUGUGUCGACGGAGUCCCCUGGCUGGCGGCUAGUAGAGCCGGUGCCGAUGCAGUCGACGUUGCUGGUGAAGAACCUCUCGGGCACUCAAUCCGCACGUGGCCCUCCUGACCACACUGGAAGCACCUGCCCGCCCGCUGUGGACACUGCGGUGGGUGAUGAGGACCACCACAGAUCACACACGAGGAGAGCCGGCGUCGGUCAAAUCCUCCUCGCUGCGCUGCUGAGCCGCGUCCUCGCUGCUGGCUUUUAGGAUGCUUCGGCGGCCUCCUAGAGUGCGUCUGGCUCGCACCCUCAGCCCCAGGCCUCUUGGCCUUGCCUUUGUCCAUCGCCUCUCGUCGCUCCUGGACCUCUGCUGCGCCGCUCUCCACUAUGAGCGCGCGAUCCACCACCUCCCGGUAGGUUUGGAGGUUAGAGGAUUGCACAAAUCGGAAGAUCGACGGUCGCAACCCUCGCUGGAAAAUGCGGGCCUUAUCCUCGUCGUCCCGCACGACGAAGGGCACGCAGUGAAGAAGCCGAGAAAACUCCCGCUCGUACUCGGCUACAAUCCGAUCACCUUGGCGCAAGUUGCGCAGAUCCUACUCCAUCUUCCGCUUGACGCUAGUCGGAAAGUAAUGCGCCAAAAGAAGCUCCUUGAACUUCUUCUAUGUGAUAGCUGCCAAAUCAGUGCUGGGGUUCUCCUGGAGAUCCAACCACCAGCGGUAGGCCUCGCCGUCCAAAUGGUGUGUGGCGAGCCAACCUCGAUCCCUUUCCUCCACGAAGGUAUCGCGGAAGAGCUUCUCCAUGUGCAUCAACCACUUUUCCACGAUCCAGUGGUCGACCUUCUCGCCAUCGAAAAUCCUGGAGCUGCACCUCCUGAACUCAUUAAGGCGUUCCAUCAGUCUGUCCCACUCUGCUCCCUCGGCUAACACGGAAAAAAUAGCUCCGAUCGGGGGCGCUUGAACAGGGGGUGCCACCAAACCCUCGCCCUGAGGCGCGCGCCGCAUGCGAAGAACUGGGCGCGGGGGAUGGCGCUCUCGGAGCGACGUCCACAACUGGUGCUUGCGGUGUAGGGGCCUGAGUCUCCCUAGAAGCUGCUGCCUGCUGCAGUAAAAGGUCCUCCAGGCGCUUCAUCCGCGCCUCCUGUCGGAGCGCCGCUUCAGUCUGCUGUCGGGCUACCUCCACCUGCUGAGUGACUAAAUCAGUGAGGGCCGCAAGCUGGCCCCUCAACUCACGGACCUCGCUGGAUCCGGAGGUAGCGGAGGUCUCGACCUCCUCAAAGUUUGCCACAUUAUCUGCCCCGGCAGAUUGGGAGCGUGUGAUCGGCAUCGCACUACAACAUCAUAAAAGCGUAAGUUAGCAAAAACCCACGUUAUCGCAUCCCCGCUCAAAGAUAAAACCCAAAUCAGGCGAAACUAAGGAAGUGUGCUUCACUACUAACUCCCGACGUUAUGUUGUCGGCCGCCAACGUAACCCUCUGCGAAGUUAGAAGCUAUACACUUCAAUUCAACUCUAACUUUUUAGAGUUAUCAAGAUAACCAAUCAAGGUACUUUCGCUCACAAAUCAAAUAGACCUCGUCUCUCACGAGCCUAUUUCCAAUAGUCCAACCGGUCUAAGGUUUGCUAGAUCCCCUAAGACUCAACCCUAGGCUCUGAUACCAAACUAAUCUGUCACGCCCCGGGACCCAGCGGAAGCCCGCCCGGCGCGUGUCCAGAUCCGACGUACGUCUAAAACAUACAAGGCGUCCAAAAUAAAGCAGUAAAUAAAGCAAUAAUACAAGGAGAUCUAGUGAUAUCAGAGCAUUGUACAACUAGUUCUUUAACAAGGAAAGAACAUAAAACUGAUAAUCCACCAAAUAAGAACAUAAAGUAAGUGCAAUAGAAAUCCCAUAACAAGUGCUAAACAAAGUACAAAGGGGUCAGUGUACAAGUAUAAGCCAAAGCGAUAAAACAACUAGGAAAUAAAUAUGAAUACUAUCCAUCGAUGAUGUCUCUACUUAGCAUGACUUGCAUAAGUAAGAAGGCAACUACUACAAGUAUGUGCACAAGAGUAUCCAACAUGCAAAUGCAUAAGUAUGCAACUAACCCAAUACCCACAAUGUAAAUAGUAAAGGUGUCAUUGUUUACUAUUCUAGUCAAUGUCCACUUGUCACUUUAACUGUUAAAGUUCAACUCUGAUAAGACCCACCCGAAGACUGUCUGGCAUAAGACCCACCCGAAGGCUGUCUGGCUUUACCGUGCCUAAUGGCCCCGUGGUAGUCAACAUCCCCACCCUAGGAAUGAGCCUUUCCCACGGCAAUCCACUUCGGCGCCCAAUCCCGCACGGCGAACAUAUCGCGAUGGCCAACUCCGGAGUGCCGGCUUGUAGGGAGCGACCCUCACAAGCAUGUGCGAAUGAGCACAAUGGCAAGCAUGCAUACGAUCCGUCACAAGUACCAAGUCCUCAUGAGUAAUACAUGGAAUAUAUCACAUAUCUCAUAGGCCUAUCUCUAUGUCAUCAUGUUGCAGUUUCAUAGUUUACUAGUUUCAAAUGCCUCUUUAUGACACUUUUGUUCAACAAGUCUAAGCAUGAUAAUUAUGUUUAUAAUGCAUAAUUCUAGUCAUUUCCAUUAUACAUAAUGAGUUCCCAACUCGCAACAAGAACCACUCCUCUCAUGCAUGCUACCAACACAUAUAACUCUACUAUAUAGAGUGAAAAUUUUAUGAUACAUAAGGCAUGCAUGUUAAGUGUUCUAAAAUUCUUAUAAAUCAUAAAUAGCAUGGAUUUGCACUUAGAAAUACUUUACGACGAGUAUAGAAAGCAUAGGGGCCAUUUUGCCCCGUGUUCAAGAAGCCAAACCCACCAAAACACUCGCGAUCCUUCGUAAGCUCCGACGAAGGUGUCGACUAGCCUCCUAGCACCCUAGAGAUGUAGGAACAAGGGUCAAACAAACGUAACGAACAACCACAAGGUUGAUCAUUAACCAUCUCAAGCUAGGGUUGGGAAAAACUCACCUCAAGUGAAAAACCCUCUCUUAAUCUUCAAAUGGGAGGUAGAGGUCUUCCAAUCUAACCUAUAUAAAGGUUCCAAACCAUUCCAAUGAGAUCAAGAAGCCUCAAAUCAAGAAUCCCCAAAUCUAACCCUAAAAUCCAAAAUCUAGGGUUUAAACAAGCAAAAAGCCCCAAAACUAAGAUCUAGAGGAAGGAACCUUGCCACUUACCUCUAGGAUGCUCCAAUCCAAGCUCAAAAUCUUCUAGGGUUGAAGAUUGAUCCACCACAAAGCUCCAAAAGCAAGCUCCAAGCCUCCAAAGGUGAGAAAUGAGGAAGAAGAUGGUGCUCCAAGGCCUCCAAGCAAGCUCCUCUCCUCUCCUUCUCCUUCUUCUCCUUCCCUUUCUCUCUCUAGAAGUGUAGGGAGAGUGUGAGGGAGAGAAAAUGAGAGUGAGAGGGGGAAGAGAGGCUGCCUAAAGCCUCUAAGGUAACAAAAUCCACUUAGGCCCCUCAAAAAUCCACUCUGUGCACUGCCCGGUCUGGGCCGCUCACGCGCUGAGGGACCGGUCUCUCCCUGCCAGGGACCGGUCUCUCGGCUCGUCCCGCAAAACCAGCGUUCGGGAACCGGUCUCUCACAGCCAGGGACCGGUUGCCUCAAGCCCUGUCGCAACACUGUGAUGAGGGGACCGGUCUCUCAUAUCAGGGACCGGUCACCGAGAGUGAAAACUCUCAGGACUUGCCAAAACUCUAGAGAUCGAACUUUUAGGCCGGUAUAC